rnacentral:rRNA from 1 species
UCCGUAGGCGGGCAAUUAAGUCAGUGAUGAAAUCCUGCAGCUUAACUGUAGAACUGUUAUUGAUACUGAUUUUCUUGAAUAUAGUUGAGGUAGGCGGAAUGUGUAAUGUAGCGGUGAAAUGCUUAGAUAUUACACAGAACACCGAUUGCGAAGGCAGCUUACUAAGCUAUUAUUGACGCUGAGGCACGAAAGCGUGGGGAGCGAACAGGAUUAGAUACCCUGGUAGUC